UAGAAAUAUUAAAAAUAGAACUACCAUAUGAUCCAGCAAUCCUACUUCUGGGUAUAUGUCCAGAAGAACUGAAAGCAAGGUCGUGAAGAGAUCUUUGCACACUCAAAUUCAUACUGACAACAUUCACAAUAGCCAAGAGUGGAAACAACCCAAAUGCCUAAUAACAGAUGAAUAAACACUAUGUGGCAUA